UGGAUUGUCACUACGUUCGCAAUUUGUUACACACUGGCUUUCUCAAGCUUUCUCAUGUUCCCGCUUCUCGGCAGCUGGCUGACCUAUGGACAAAGGCCUUAUCUGGGACUGCUCUUUCUCUUCUUUUGUCCAAGUUGAUGGUGGUUUCCCCCCUUCAACUUGAGGGGGGGGGGGUGUUGAGAUAUAUGUAAGGCAAUGAUGAUAAAACCCACACUUAGACCAUUAUGAGUCAAUGAGGGAGUCACAUCUGAGCCUAAUAGGCUAUUUCUGUAAUUAGUCUAUUUCUGUAAUUAGGCUAUUUCUAUAAUUAGGCUAUUUCUGUAAUGGGUUAUUUUGUAUAUAUGCUGAAGGGUCGUUUGUACAAAGAC
rnacentral:lncRNA from 1 species